UAUUUAAAUCCAGAUCUUUAUUAAUAAAUAACAGUAACUAGUAGGCCCACCAAAAAAAGUAUGUGAAUGUUACUAGCAAAUUUUUUACAAUUCCAUUUCAGACACUGCAAACCACAAAAUUGCCACAUACGUAUUUUCAAAAAUCAGCAGACCAAAGGCUUUACCUGAGAAAGGCUCUAACCAGAUCAGAACUUGAUAGCAGGCUCUUUGGCCCUAUAAAUAGCACAUCCCUGUGUCUGUGGGUGGGACUAAGGAAUCCUCUUUUCCUGGUGGGCUGAGCUGGAGAUGAGGCUUUUUCCUUCUGCCCUUCUCAUCAGCAGUCCAUUAGCAACCGUCCAAAAGUGAGCCUCAUUUAGGCAGGUUAAAGCCUCUGAUGCCUUCAUAGUUGCUACAAAUUAGCAAAUUAGGUGAUGUAAGGGGGGAAGAAGGGCCAAAAUAAUUAUAGAUACCAGGGUGGUUUUGUUUGGUUUUGUUCUUUCAGGAAAGCCUAAUUAUUACAGAAGCAAUUUCCCUUCAAGGCAAUACUACUGCCAGAUUCAAGAAUCCUUACAGGAGACAGCGACUCUUGAAAAUCCAGGCUUGGAGCUGCUGUUCUGACGGUUGGCUGAACCAAGGCAGAAAAAAGCACUGACCAGGAUUUAUAACGUGGCCUUAAUGUCCCAAAAGCCUGAGGCAAAAGAGAAGAGUGGAACCCCUAAACUGAGCAUAAUUUAGUAAUUUUCUGUGUGGCAGGCUUCUUAUUUUCUCUUAUUAAACGAACCCUGCUUUAAGUCUUUCAAGCUUUCUUACAUUUGAAAGGAAAAAGAUGAAGAAUGAGUGUCUAUUAAGGGAACAUAAAGUUAAGGAGAUGGGCAUUCUGCCUUAAUUUUCUUUAACAUAAGUGCCCUAAUUCCGUACUUCUACACUUGGCAGUGCUUUUGUAAUGAUACGGGCAACUGUGUGCAACUGUUUUAAAAGCAGUCACUUUGAAAGUAACAGGCCAUUAAAUCAGUAUAGAACUAUAAUAUAUUUGGGGCAAAUAUCACAACUCUUUUAAUUGAAGUUUCAUUUUUUAAUUUUUUUAAAUUUAUUCUCCAUGGAUCGUAAGAGUGCUGAAUAAACAGAAAUACCUUUGACACAAUGGCAUCAAUAGCUGUAGCACAUAACUGAAAUGUAAACGAGUUCUGACUCCUGUGCGGCUCUGCCUUUCCCAAGUAUCAAUAAUACAUGGAAUGGUACAUAAAGCUGUGGAAAGGGGACAGCUGGGUACACGGUGCUCACAAGUGGAGCACAGGAAAACCGGGCAGCGCUGCUUCUCUAAAAGCUAAGUACUAUCCUUCCAUCAAAAAAUAAUGCUUCUGUGUAUACAGUCUUCAUGGACUCAUCUCUCUGUGCAAUAAAGCUGGAUGCACUGGAGAGAUCAUUCCAGUAUUUCAUUUGGAGCUCUGAACUGUUGUGUGUAGGGGGCAGCUGUUUGCUUUACUACAGUACACUGCAGA